UACGUAGGCAGCGAGCGUUGUUCGGAGUUACUGGGCGUAAAGCGUGCGUAGGCGGUUUUCUAAGUUUGGUGUGAAAUCUCCCGGCUCAACUGGGAGGGUGCGCCGGAGACUGGGAGACUGGAGUGUGGGAGAGGUAGGCGGAAUUCCUGGUGUAGCGGUGAAAUGCGUAGAUAUCAGGAGGAACACCUGUGGUGUAGACGGCUUACUGGACCAUGACUGACGCUGAGGCACGAAAGCGUGGGGAGCAAACAGG
rnacentral:rRNA from 1 species